AAGACUAUACUUUCAGGGAUCAUUUCUAUAGUUUGUUACUAGAGAAGUUUCUCUGAUUGUGUAGAGUACCAAAAAAGGGAUGAUAAUGGCCUUU
rfam:Ictidomys tridecemlineatus contig016056, whole genome shotgun sequence.